UCGUAACAAGGUUUCCGUAGGUGAACCUGCGGAAGGAUCAUUACUGAGUGCGGGCUGCCUCCGGGCGCCCAACCUCCCACCCGUGACUACCUAACACUGUUGCUUCGGCGGGGAGCCCUCUCGGGGGCGAGCCGCCGGGGACUACUGAACUUCAUGCCUGAGAGUGAUGCAGUCUGAGUCUGAAUAUAAAAUCAGUCAAAACUUUCAACAAUGGAUCUCUUGGUUCCGGCAUCGAUGAAGAACGCAGCGAACUGCGAUAAGUAAUGUGAAUUGCAGAAUUCAGUGAAUCAUCGAGUCUUUGAACGCACAUUGCGCCCCCUGGCAUUCCGGGGGGCAUGCCUGUCCGAGCGUCAUUGCUGCCCAUCAAGCCCGGCUUGUGUGUUGGGUCGUCGUCCCCCCCGGGGGACGGGCCCGAAAGGCAGCGGCGGCACCGUGUCCGGUCCUCGAGCGUAUGGGGCUUUGUCACCCGCUCGAUUUAGGGCCGGCCGGGCGCCAGCCGACGUCCAACCAUUUUUCUUCAGGUUGACCUCGGAUCAGGUAGGGAUACCCGCUGAACUUAAGCAUAUCAAUA
rnacentral:misc_RNA from 1 species